UACGUAGGGUCCGAGCGUUGUCCGGAAUUAUUGGGCGUAAAGAGCUCGUAGGCGGUUUGUCGCGUCUGAUGUGAAAGCCCCGGGCUCAACCUGGGAAUGGCAUUGGAAACUGGCGAGCUAGAGUGUGGCAGAGGGGGGUGGAAUUCCGCGUGUAGCAGUGAAAUGCGUAGAGAUGCGGAGGAACACCGAUGGCGAAGGCAGCCCCCUGGGCUGACACUGACGCUCAGGCACGAAAGCCAGGGGAGCGAACGGG
rnacentral:rRNA from 1 species